rnacentral:rRNA from 1 species
AUUGAACGCUGGCGGCAGGCCUAACACAUGCAAGUCGAACGGUAACAUGAAGCAGCUUGCUGCUUCGCUGACGAGUGGCGGACGGGUGAGUAAUGUCUGGGAAACUGCCUGAUGAAGGGGGAUAACUACUGGAAACGGUAGCUAAUACCGCAUAACGUCGCAAGACCAAAGAGGGGGACCUUAGGGCCUCUUUCCAUCGGCUUAGCCCUGAUGGGAUUAGCUAGUAGGUGGGGUAACGGCUUACCUAGGCGACGAUCCCUAGCUGGUCUGAGAGGGGGACCGGCCACACUGGAACUGAGACACGGUCCAGACUCCUACGGGAGGCAGCAGUGGGGAAUAUUGCACAAUGGGCGAAAGCCUGAUGGAGCAAUGCCGCGUGUAUGAAGAAGGCCUUCGGGUUGUAAAGUACUUUCAGCGGGGAGGAAGGGAGUAAUGUUAAUCCCUUUGCUCAUUGACGUUACCCGCAGAAGAAGCAACGGCUAACUACGUG